rnacentral:rRNA from 1 species
UACGUAGGGUGCAAGCGUUGUCCGGAAUUAUUGGGCGUAAAGAGCUCGUAGGCGGUCUGUUGCGUCGGCUGUGAAAACCCGGGGCUCAACCCCGGGCCUGCAGCCGAUACGGGCAGACUAGAGUUCGGCAGGGGAGACUGGAAUUCCUGGUGUAGCGGUGAAAUGCGCAGAUAUCAGGAGGAACACCGGUGGCGAAGGCGGGUCUCUGGGCCGAUACUGACGCUGAAGCACGAAAGCGUGGGGAGCAAACAGG